GUCUCUUAAAACGUCUCAACAUCUGCAAUAAGCAGUUGUAAAUUCUCUCAUUUUCUGUGAUCAAGAUCUCUAUUCACACAGUUGUAAACUUAAGUCUCUGCUGCCAUUGUAAUCUCCAAAGGCAGCUUUUCAGUUUUCUGCAAUUUAUUUAUGAAGUUUACUUGUUUUGUGAUUGUUCUUCUUUUGUAAUAACCGUUGGGAUGAUCUAGCCAUAAUUGUUGCAAUGGUACACAUCUUCUCAUUUUAAGUGUUUCUAUUAUUUGAUUUGGUUUUGUGUUUUUCUAGUUGUGGUUUUAGUGUGAUGAUAUUUUGGUUUGUGGUUUUUAAUUACUGUGUUGCUCAUGGCAUGACUGUGAACCUUUGGCCUUGUAUGAUAACAAUUUUUUUCUUUUAUGUUUUGCCUUUUAAAAAAAAUAGAAGAAAAAGAAAGAAAUAUAUAUAAUUCAUAAAAAAAAUAUCCAAGCAUGCCCAUGAAUGAGAUCUCUCUACAUUUUUGCAAUAUGCGCUUUGCUUAGGGAAAAAAAAGACUUAUCUUUUUUGUGGCUGCUUAUUUCCUAUGCAGAAACUCUGAAGCUACACGGGAAAGGAGAACUUGAACUUUUGCUGGUAGAAAUCAAAAAUAAAAACGCACAAAGCUAGCUUGCUGAGCAAAUUUUUGUUUAAAGAUUUCAAUGGCCUUGCAAUAUGACUCCGAACUUGCACAUUUGUAGCUUUAUGUUUCAUAUAAGAAUGCAGUAAGAACCUUAUUGGCUUGAUUUGUUCAUUAUUAAUUGAUAAUCCAAUUUGUUUUGAGAAAAUGUGUAUUAGUAUGCCUUUCCUCUUGCUGAGGUUAGUUUAUGAUUAUGUGAAUCUAACAGAAAGAUGAAGUUGGUGAAAUAUGUUAUUAGAAAAGAUUUGAAUGGUGAGCUUAAUUUGUUAUCAUCAUUAUAAGUAUUACUUUGUUACAGUCAAAGGGAACAAAAAUAUGCAUCAUUGCUAGUUUUCUGUUAACUUUCCUAAGCUUACUAGGAUCUCAGUAGAUAGAAUGGUAUCUCGUGAAUUUAUCUUAUUAUCUUAUAAUACUUGUUUUGUUAUGUCCUUGGACGUAUAGUUGUUUCCCCUUUUUUUCUUAAAAAAAUAAAAGAAAACAUUUGCAAUGCCCUGAAUAUAAAAUAGUCGUCAUGAAGAUUCAUGGAAUUUACAUUUUAUUAAUAAAAAUUUUAUGUACUCGAGCUCCAAAAGAACAGGGAUUAAGAAUUUUUUUAAUAUAUACACAAAUACCCCUUACAAUUUUUAGUAAGUUCUUUAUCUCUGGUAGGUAUCUAUGCUGGUUUGGGAUAUGGUUGAUUUAUACCAAGCGAUAAAACACGUUACACUAGGCAGGUGUACAAAAUUAAGCUAAUGUUUGCCUACUAUUUUAUUUUAAUUCUUAAAGUCUAGAUUGCUUUAUUCUUUUCCAUACAACCACAUGUGAAUUUAUGUUUUGUUUCUCCAUCAAAUUACUGAGAUGGUGUUCUCUAUGCAGCCAUGCCUCUUAUAUGACAGACAAAGAUAUCGAAAAGGGCAUACUGUAUCAAUCUAUUAAAAGCUGGGUAAAUUGCUUCCAUGGCCACUACUUCAAGCCUUUUCACUUCCACUUCUUUCUGUUGUUAUUGUGCUGCUGCAAACUUAUGCCAGACCUGUCUUGGGUGACAAUCUCUCUGAUUUUUCAGCCAACCUUAUUGCUGCUUAUGACAGUGGUUAACUCCUCAGUGCUCUUAAAGGUGGUCAUGUUGGCUAGAAAAAGUGGGUAAAGAGCUUCGGCAAAUCACUGAAGUGCAAGGUCAAUCCUCUCUUUCUCACUGUCUUACUUAGGCACACACACACACACAUGUUUAUAUCCCUUCCAAUGUCUUUCAUUCUUUAGUUUAAGCUUCUUAAAAAUGUGAUUAACUUCCAUGAAAAACUAACAAAUAUCGUGAUUCUCAUGUAGGGUAAGUCUCUGUUCAUGCCACUCCAAGUGCGGCUGACAGGAAAACUCCAUGGCCCAGAUAUGGGUGCGAGUGUGCUUAUACUUCAUAAAGCGAAAAUCUGUUGAGUUGUUGCUCCUCAAGCCGAGUUCAUAUCUUUAAAUGAAAGGUUCAAUAUGCUGAGGGAACUUGACUGGGAAGUGAGGGCACAAUAUUAUAUAUAUAUGAAU